rnacentral:rRNA from 1 species
GAUGAACGCUAGCGGCAGGCUUAACACAUGCAAGUCGAGGGGUAUAGUUCUUCGGAACUAGAGACCGGCGCACGGGUGCGUAACGCGUAUGCAAUCUACCUUUUGCAGAGGGAUAGCCCAGAGAAAUUUGGAUUAAUACCUCAUGGUAUGUGAGAAUGGCAUCAUUUCCACAUUAAAGUCACAACGGCAAAAGAUGAGCAUGCGUCCCAUUAGCUUGUUGGUAAGGUAACGGCUUACCAAGGCAACGAUGGGUAGGGGUCCUGAGAGGGAGAGCCCCCACACUGGUACUGAGACACGGACCAGACUCCUACGGGAGGCAGCAGUGAGGAAUAUUGGACAAUGGGCGCAAGCCUGAUCCAGCCAUGCCGCGUGCAGGAUGACGGUCCUAUGGAUUGUAAACUGCUUUUGUACAGGAAGAAACACUGGUUCGUGAACCAGCUUGACGGUACUGUAAGAAUAAGGAUCGGCUAACUCCGUGCCAGCAGCCGCCGUAACAC